GCUUCCAUAGAAUAAAGUCUGUAUGUUAACACAGGUACACAAACUAAAGUAAAGACACCAAACAACUCAGAGCAGCACUUGUUUUGUAUGGUUGUUUUUACCUAUUCCUUCCCCCGGGCAAGUCACCACUUCAGUUGUAAUUAUUCCACUGCAAAGCUCUGAAAGCCCCAGAUAUCUCAACUCUCCAUCCGUAUCUUGCAUGGCGGCCUGUCAGAGUUCUCAUUACUGCGGCAAUAAUGCAGCGAGCAGCUCCUGAUAACAGUCGAGAGUUGUCACAGCUCUGGAAACCCAUUUUUCCUCUCUGUGUCUGCGUUCCUUUUGAUAUUUGCAUUGGCGUCAAGUCCCUGGAAAGACUAUUUAGGAAUGCUUACUCCUGCUGUGUCUCAGAUUCACUUCAAUCUUCAGAUGUAAUCUGUCCAGAAUCCAUUAACAGAAAAAUAAACAACACACGUUCAAGUGAUCUAGUGUCGUGCGGAAAGGUAGUAAAUCAAUUCUUUGGUUUAGUGUUUUACAUUCAGAGUAACACCUAUUACUGAAUCUUGGAGGUAAUUAUUUUCAUCCUGGUUUGGUUUCAUUGGAUAAAAUGCUGAGUUUCAGAGAAGGAUUAAAUAUCAAGUUGAAGGCGACUUCAGAUAAGAACGGCAAAUAAGAGGGAAGGAAAUACUGGUGUUUUGUAUUUCAAAUGGAACAACAGAGGUGACCUUUCGUCGCAGCGACCCGCUGUCCUUGUCCUAAUGUGGGUGCCAACCGCAGAUCGCAGUAGAAAGGGAGGCUCUUACCAUCACAUCAUAUUCACAUUCUGCAGUAAACACUCGGUCGGGGUAGUGACCUUGUAUUUGAUGUUGGGACAUAUUUUGAAUUACAUUUACAUUAGAUUCCAAAAAUAACUUUCACAUUUGCAAGGGAAAAGAUACAUGGAAACAAAAGGCAAACUACUGAGUAUUUCAAGUACAAGAGAUGCAUGCAAUGCACGUUUUUGGAUCAAUAUUUGUUCAAAAUGGUUUGUUUCAACCAUGUUUCAAGUCAAUAUUAGGCUCUGUACAUUACGUGGAGAUCUACCGAGUGACCUUCCAAUCUCCCAAAGACUCGCUUCACUUGUUAGGCUGAGAAGAAAGAGCGUUGCUAUAUUUAUAUCCCAGUAAAGUUUUUUUUUUAAAUUAAAAAUGGAUUGGUUUGAUCCAUCCGGGUUCUCAUCAAGCUUCAUAAAUAAGCAAGCAUGUUGUGUCCACGCUUCCUAUCAAAACAUCUGUUUUUGGGAACAGCUGUAUCACAACACUAAUGAAGAUCUUCGAAGGGCAGCGCGUACAGAAAAUAAGCUCCACAGUACGAUGGUGUCAUACAGUAAAGCCAAGGGUAACAUCCACCAUCAGUUGAUUGUUGCCAGUCUUCUGCACGUGUGGUUUCACUAGAAAGCAACCGGUCAUAAAAACAAGGCCACCGAUUGUGCCUUUAGUUGAAGGAGCAUCUGUGUCAUGAUACAGCAAUGUGACCAGAUCCGUUAGUUGGCUUCACCAACCUGGAACGCAUUAAAAACUUCAAACAAAAAUGAGUAGAUGCAUAUUUGCAGCAGAUGGAAUAUUUGCACGCUGCAACAAAUUGCGGUUGAUUAAGAUGUAAUGAUAUGCGACGUUUUUUAGAUAAACAUUUGCAAUACAGCAAAGGUAUCACACAAAGGGGAUCAAUUUACAGCACUGUUUGCUGCUAAUGGAACCUAAAGGUGAGAUAAGAUCAAAUCAAUCAAAUGUAUUUUACAGUGCUCCAGAAACGAGUUCAUCUCGCUCACUGAACGUUAGAAUAAAGGGUGAGAAAAUCUUUCAAUAAAACAGCAUUAGCGUAUCUGCAAAUAACACAAACUAAUUUCUCCAAACAAUCAAUUAUUCACAGAGCAGGCUUUCUAAAUUAGAAAUGUUUGCCUCGGGAGGUACUUUGUAAAACAGCUUACGGUGAAGGUGUAAAACAGGGAGGGAGAGCGUCUCCUGUGUGAAUCCAGAGGUAAGAGAAGAUGAAAAAAGGAUUCAUAGGAUUUCAUUAGAAAAUGUUUUUGAGCAGAGGCUUGAUGUUGUUUCUCUCCCCAUUAGAGCUAUAUUUGUUGUCGUCAAGAGCUUGAUCACAGACUGCCCCCUGCUGGUAAGUGAACGUGUUGGUAGGUUUGAUUACCACUCAGCAGCAGGUACUCACUGUACUCACCGGCAGGCUGCUGACUGGUACUAAUUGGGUCACAUCUGGCUUCUUCAUUAAACAUCUCCCGCAGGUCCCGAUGGCACUUACAGCGUCCAUAGGGUUGUUUUUAAAGGUCUUAAAAUAAAAAUCUGGUUUUUGGAGCAGACAUGAAAAGGUCUUAAAUAAAUGUCUCAAGGGGAAGGGAUGAAGGAGCCAGAAUUCAACGAGUUGUCACUUGGGAUUUAAUUCAGCCACGUAAUGCUAAGAAACAACAUGUAGCCACAAUUCUUUUUUUGAAAUGCUUAAAAUAUGCUUGAUUAGUUGAGAA
ensembl:lncRNA